CCCUCGAUAGGUGCAUUGAGUGUGUGAGUACGUGCGCCACAGCGCCUGUGCACGUGUGAUUAUUCACAGGGCCGUGGGAGGUCCAGGGACACCAAGCCAGAGACGCACCCCUGUCACCCUUAUCACAGAAGGUCAGGUUUAGAUAAAAACAAAUGGCGAAAAAAUAAAAACGCCACCACUUCUUUCUAAGCUGUCGUCCAAUCAUGUUGAAUAACACUCGUUGUCAUGUGGGUUUUUUGUGGAAGAAAACAGGGUGGAGCUAAAGAGAUAGCUUAUUUUUUUAGGGGGUGAUAUUGUUUUUUAUCUCUGUUGGGAGUACUGAGUCAAGCGUUACACUGAGAACUCAAGUCAACACUGUGAACUUGGAUAAUUAUUAAAUAGAUCAUUAUUUGAACUGUAUGUCUUUGAGCAGUUGGAACUGAAAAUCAUCAGAGGGGUCUUAACAUCCAUUUCACCAUUAAAACAUGGCGAAACAUCAAUACAACGUGGGCACAUUCCUGCAAGGAAUCAGCGACAAACUCCUUGCUGGGGUAAGAUCAGCUGAAGCCAUUGUUGAGGCUUCCAUUGCACAGCAGCUGAUAUCAUCCGAGGAGGACCUGAUUUCUAUCAACGAAGCUCAUACCCCGCAAGAUCAGCUGAGGACGCUGUUUCACGCUAUGGAAAGGGGGACAUCUGAAGCCAAAGAUGCCUUCUACCAAAUACUAGCGCUGAAAGAGCCUGAGCUUGUAGGAAUUUCAGAGCAAAGACAAGUAAACUCCAAGAUGACCCAAACCGAGCAGAGUAACUCCUUGGAAAAUCCUGAACAAUUGGAAGAAAAAGUAGUCGCCUUUGACCCGCAAAGCAAGACGUACUAUCUAAGAAAACAAAAACAAGAGACACUGCAAGCUAUCAAAGAAAUUGAAAUACUUUUCGAGUAUACUAAAUCAGAAAAGGCUGAAAUUGUCCAGAUGAAGGCAAGAAAUGAAGACCAACAAUCAUCAAUUGUUCAACUUAAAGCAGAAAAACAACAGCAGAAUUUAUUGAUAAUGAGUUUAGAAGUUAAGCUAGGCGGUGCUAUUCAGAAACUGCAGAAGACCAAGGAAGAUAUAAGGAAUGAAAAAGAGCUAAUUGAAAAAGUCUGGGCUGAUGUCAAAACAGAAAGAGAACUUAUAGACUGCAGGCGAAAUGAGUUCAUGAAUGAGCGAGAAAUAUUCAAAGCACUGAUCAUGCAUGAUAAGCCAAUAAGGCACACAGAACCGACAAAAACAAAUAAACAACUGCAAGAUGCAUUCAUAAAGAUUCAGGCUGACAUCCAGUGUCACAUUCAGGAAAACAAGAGAAGAGUAGGUGAAGCGAAGCAAGUGGAAGGACAAAUGCAAAAAUAUAUUGCUGAAAUAAAACACAACUUCAGGAUGGCAAAGUAUGAAAUUGCAUUUCUAAGGAAGCAAAUGAAGCGGAUGCGACUUCAAAUAAGCACAAACAUCAGAGAGACAGAGAAACGCAAGAACAAGAUGGAUCACUCGCACACUGCCAGACUGCCUGACGACAAUGAGCCGUAUGAGAAGAUGAAGAAUGAACUGAACCGAGUGAAGGCAGCAGUGGAAAGACUUUGGCUUGAAUUGGAAGGGCAGGAAGUCUCCGCAGAGACUAGAACCCCGGGGCCCGCAGAACACCAACUGACAGCCGUGAUGAGACCAAGGUCACAACAUAUUACAGAUGAUGUAGAGAGGCAAACUGUAGCCCCCCGAGAUCGGAUGACGGCAGCGAUACAUGAAAUGAAUGAGGACCGAGUGAAAACUGAAAUAAUGGCCCAGAGAGAUGACAUAGAAAGAGAUAGGCAGUUUGUGAAGACAGAGAUGGACGAAGUGAAAAAGAUGAAGGAGAACAUUCAAAGGCAGCAGCUGGAGCUUGAUGAAAAGUUGGAAAAGACAAGAAGACAGAUACGAGAGAGGGAAGUCUUGAACACUGAGAUUGACACAAAGAAAAGUAACCUGGAGAAAAGUAUGAGGCGCACCAUGAUGAAACAGCAAGAUGCUGACAAGAGAAGGGAAACUGUACCGCAAGUAGAAGAAGACAUGGAAGAGAAAGAGAGGUCAAAGAAGGACGAUGCAAGUAAAUUUGCUACGGAUACAGAGAAUGCGGGGGCAGGUGAAGGGAUCAGAGUGAACGCAAAAAUCCAAAGGUUGGUUCAUAAAGUGCAAGCGAUCAGAGAUGUGUUAAAGACGGUGACACAGACACCCAAGCAAGGGAGAACCAAUAUGCAACAGGACGAAAGCCAAACCAAGUGGACAAAUUACAGAGCGCAGAAACAAAGACGUGAGCUUGACCAAAGAUUGGAGAAGAUUGCUCAGGAAAGGGAUGCCCUGGAGGUGAUGAAGAUAAAAAUGCAGCUGGAGAAGGAGGAACAGAAGACUAAGGAGUCUGGUUCUAACAUGGGCGUCAUAGAUGAGAUGAAAGGGGACAUGCAGAGUACGAGUGCAGGGAUUGAUCACACCCCCAUGGAGGCUACAAAAAAAAAUAUUCUCCCUGAUCAACCAACUGCACGGGAAAAGGCAACACAAACCUUUCUUGAUGUCAGUCAACGAAGUGAAGAAGAACAAACGUUUGGUAAGUAUUCAACAAUUGAAAAGGAAAGCCUGGGAAUUCAACCAUCAAGGGUGGUUACACAGGAUAAGCAGGAUAUGGAUUCACCUGAACACAGCUCAAAAGCUGGAUUUCAGGAUAAAACGGAACAAAAAAGGACUGUGAGGGAUAGGACGGAAACCGAAAGCUAUGUCUCAAAACUCGGAGAGGAAGAGGAGAUAGUGAAAGGGGCUAUGGACAACUUAAAACAAAACCACAAAGAGAUGGAAAGACUGAUUGAGGAUAUAAGCAACCUUUAUCUGCAAGGGGCUGAUGAUGGGUCAGACAAUAGGGACGUAGGAAAUCACGGUGAUAGAUCAAUCGGGCAGAUCAAACAGACAGUACAGUACAGAGUACGUUUACAGGUUAACAGACAGAGUUAUGAAGAAGAGAAUGUUGAAUAUGAAAUGCCAGGGUCUUUAACAACUGAACACCAAACAAAACCAGCAAAUUUGAUAGAACGUGAAUCAGAGGGGUCACCGGCAUUAGGAAAUGCCAGGAUACAAACCUUGAUUCGGGAGAUUAACAGAAUACAAGAAUCAUUAGAACAAAUAUCAUUGAAAGAAACUGAAGAAAGCUGCAUUGACAUGGCUCCUACGGAGGUCCGCGGGAACGCUGAGGGAUCAGUGCUGCAGCUGUUGCAACAAAUCAGAGAUGUCCUAAACAAAGUUAAAGAUGCGAUGGAUCAAAGUGAAAUGUAUCUGAGCAAAGGGAGGACUGACAUGAAAUGGAUUCAAAUGAUGAUUAGGAAACAGCAGAGAGAACUUGACCAGCGACGAGAGAAAACUCUCAGAGAGAGGGAUGAAUUGGACAUUUUAAAAAUGAAACUACAUCAGAAGAAGGUGCAGGUGGACCAGCAGAUCGAGAACAUAUCCAAAGUAAAACAUAAAAUUGAACGUAUGGUUUCACAUUUUAAGACUAAGUUAGAGGAAUACCAAGUAAAACAGACACAACUCAAGGGUUUGAACUGCAAGAUUGAGGCAGAGAAACAAAGCUUAGAAAGUGUCAUUGAUAUGAUUUGCCAGAAAACCGUUGAGCUUCAGAAAGUCAAUAGAGAAAUCAGUCAGCAAAGGGUAGACAUGGACUCCAAUAUCGAUAGAGAUGAGGCAUAUCUAGCACAGGUUAAACUACACAGACAGGAAAGAGAAGUGGUAAAUGCUAGGCAGCAAUUUCAAGAAAGAGACAUGGAGAAAGAAGAGCAAGAUAUUUUAGAACUUGUAUCCAAAGAAGAAACAAAUGAGAAAACUGAGUUCAGUGCCAAUUUAGACCAAGGACAAAGAGAAAUUAAAGAAAUGGCGGAACUUCAAGGCCAACUCAAACAGAAGAUGGAGACUGAGUCUGCUCUGGACGAACAAAAGGAGGACCUUCAAAUAUUAAGGGCUUGUCUCAGAACUGAAAGACAGGAAAUGGAGAUGUUGAAACAUCAGGUUGAGUCCGAGAGAGAGAGCCUGAUAAAGGAAAGACAAAAGCUGUAUACAGAAAUAAACAAAGCAAGGGAUGGUAUUGCAAAACAAACCCACGAACUUGACGAUAAAAUGCGACACAUCAAGAGAGAGACAAGGGAGAUUGAGCUAGCUAAGGCAGAGUUGGUAACAAAAAGAAAAGAAAAUGAUAGGUCAUCUAAGAGGGAAAUACGAAAAAGAGAGGAAGUUGGAAUGCGUUUGGUUGAAAUUCAAAGAGAAAAGGAAUCCCUCCAAACAAAUACGCAAAAGAGAAGGAGAGAACUGGAUGAUAGGAUGGAGAGGAUCAGAAGAGAAAGGGAUCAGUUAGAGGUUCUAAAGAUAAAACUAGAACGUCUAAAGAAGGAGCUGGCUGAGGAAAAGGAGAAAAAUGAGAACGAAAAGAAAAACAAUGAAAGCUAUGGUAUUUUGGUCCGAAAACACACUGAGAAUCUAAAUGGUAAAGGAGAGACUGGGAGGCUUGACAAGAUACAAUUACAAAGAAGAGACACUGAUCAAUUUAACCAAGUUAUGAGUGAUCUUGGAGAAAUGGAAAUGAGAGGAAACAUGAAAAUGAAUGAUCUGAAAACCCUAAAACUCAAUCUGGAGAAACAACGAGAGGAGAUUGAAACACUAGCAGCUGAGAACAAGACUGAGAAGAUGAACAUAGAGAAACUAAAAUCUGAGUUACAGAUUGAAAAGAUUGAUUUAGAAAAAAUGAUACAACAGGCCCAAACUGAGAUGCAAAUUUUGAGUCACACAAGGGAGGAUAUUCAGAAGAAGAGGAGCGAGCUUGACGACCACUUUGAGAGGACUAAAAGAGAGAUUAGAGAGAUGGAACUGCUUAAGUCUGAGCUGGAAGUGGAGAGAAAACAAAACAAAAAGACAUUACGGAAGGUCAAUAGAAAAGAGCAAGAGGCUAAAAGGAUGUGGUCGUUGUCUGGAGUACAGAAAGAAACGGAUGCCUUUGAGCAAGAAACACUAAAAAGGAGAGUGGUGGAACAGAGGAUUGAGGUGAGCAGCAAAGAGAAGAUAAACGACUCUGAGGUUAUGAAGGUAGAUCUGCAAGGGCAAAUAGGAAACCCCGGAGGGAAGCCAGAACCAAGAUUGCAGGCACCACAAAGUGGAAAUGUAGAUGAAAUGCAAGAGCCUACAGCAGGAGGCAUAGAGGACUUGGCUGAUUACAUUCAAGAGAAAUUGGGAGAACCCCAAAGUCAGGUGAAACCGAACAUCGAACUGCUACCACAAGAUGAACACAAUUGUAAAACUGUGCUGGGAUUAGCCCAAACACAAAUCAUUCAAAUCAAAUCCAAUGAUAUAGAUGAGAAAACAAAGAAAGAGAAAGAAGAAGGGGAAUUUAUGAAGUCCUUUAUACACAGGUUAAUGGUUAUCCUGCCAAGUCACCAAAGAAAAAUGGAAGAGGAAAAAAAGAGACAUGAAAUGACAGUGGUGGAACUGGCGAGCAAGCAGGCUAUUAUAAAUAGAGCCCUCAAUGAAAUACAGGAACACAGGAAAAGACUACAAGAAGAUGCUCUUGACAUUCAAAAGAGAAAGGCUGAAUACAAGAAUGUUGUGAAUGGUAUUAUAAUGAAACAGAAAGAACAAGAACUUAAGGAUAAAGAAAUAGAAAGAGACAAACAAUUAUUAAACGACUGCCGGGAUACCUUACAAAUUGAAAGAGACAAAGUGGAAGAUUUAAAAAUACAUGUCAACGACAUGAAACAAGAGGCCGAAGCUGAUAUGGAAAAUAUCAGAAGAGAGAAGGGAACCCUCAAAAAGACAAAGAGUGACAUUAUAAAACAGCAAAAAACAAUAGCAGAUGACAGAAAUAGGAUGGAAAAAGGACUGUAUGAAUCCAAAAUGGAAGAAAAUAUGCUAAUAAGAACAGCAAGCGUAAUACAAUAUCACAGAGAUAAUCUACAAAUGCUUAAAAAUAAGACACAAGUAGACCACCAAACAAAGAUGGACAUCUUGCGGGAUUCAAAUGCAGACAUAAAAAAACUUAAAUUGAUUACACAACUGAAGAAACAGGAGUUUGAUAACCAUAGAGUGAAAAUGGAGAGUUAUUUUCAAUCAAUCCAAAGACCCAGAGAGGAACAAAUAACAUUAGGACAAGACAUUUCAAUACAAACAGAGGAAAUUGAAUAUAGAUUGAGGACAGACCUUCUCAUAGAAAAGCAAAGAGCUUUGAGCGACAUGAACGGUGACAGAAAAAAGAUGGAAAAUGUACUUCUUGAAGUCCAAAAGAACAUCCAAGAACUUCUUAAAGUGAUACAACAGUUGGCCGAAAAACAGAAACAACAAGUGCUUCUAGACAGUGACUUGAAACGAUUGACGGAUGAUAUCCAAAUUGGACAGGAAAAUCUAAUGAAACAACAGGAGGAAGUUCAACGUUUUAAGAUUGCUUUCAUGAAUAAGAAGGAGGAGCUUAAAGUGAUCAUGGAAAGAAUCUUUGAAGAGACAGCACAGCUUGAACAAGAGAAGCUUGAUAUUCAUGAAGAGCGAAGAAAGGCCUUGGACGAAAGGACGAUGCUAGAAAGAAUCUUUGAAGGGACAGCACAGCUUGAACAAGAGAAGCUUGAUAUUUAUGAAGAGCGAAGAAAGGCCUUGGACGAAAGGACGAUGCUAGAAAGAGAUUUGUCGGAAGUAAAGAUGAGAGAAGAAGAGGCCAUGCAAACGAUAAGACACAACACAAAUAUGAAAGAGGCAAUAAAAGAAGAGGCCAUGCAAACGAUAAGACACAACACAAAUAUGAAAGAGGCAAUAAAAGAGUUGAUUGAAAAGACACAUCAAGACAUUACAAUGAAGAUGCAAUUCAUAGAGCAGAAGAUUCUGGAUGCACAAAAUCAGACAACUAACUUGGAAAUUCAGCAAAAAGAAAUGGAAGAGCAGAAAUUGGAGAUUGACACACAUUUUGAACAAAUACAAAGACACAGAGAAGAUCUGAUCAAUAUGAAAUCGGACAUGAUGGUACAAAAAAAAGAAAUGCAAAAGAAUUGGAACGAGGAGCUGCUACUGGAGAUACAAGAUCUCAACACGGAAAAGGAAGCAGUAGACAGGCAAAGCAAAUAUCUGGACACAGUUAAAGAAACAAGAUCUCAAUACGGAAAAGGAAGCAGUAGACAGGCAAAGCAAAUAUCUGGACACAGUUAAAGAAACAAUCAACAAAGACAACCUUGACUUGGAUAUCAUGAGGUCUGAAAUUCAGAAUGAAACAGAGGCACUGGAAAGAGAGAAAGAAAAGAUCCAGGAACAAACUGAGAUAAUAGAAAGAGAUCAAUCUUUUGUGAAAGUAGAAAAAGAAAGACUUGAAAUGGCAAAGGCGGAACUCCAAGAAAAGCAAGACAAAGUUCAUGGUCUACAGAGCGAUUUGAACAGUGACAGAGAAAAGAUGGACCAUUUACUUCUUGAAGGCCAAAAGAAAAUCCAAGAACUUCAUAAAGAGAUACAACACAUGGUCCAGAAACAGAAACAACAAGAGCUUCUAGACAGUGACCUGAAACGAUUGACUGAUGAUCUCCAAAUUGGGCAGGAAAAUCUAAUUAAACAACAGGAGGGUGUUCAACGUUUUAAGAGUGAUGUCAUGAAUAAGAAGGAGGAGCUUAAAGUGAUCGUGGAAAGAAUCUUUGAAGGGACAG
ensembl:lncRNA